UCCCCGACUGACGCGUAGAAGAGCGUGGUCAUGAAUUAAAGUAACGGGACCUAGGCGGAAUUUCGGAAGUUCUGUGAAAAGAAUCCCUCUCGCGUGGUCGAGAUUCAAGAUUAGUUCGGAGAUAAGCAAACGCGGUGACCCGGAAACGCUCGGUGUCGAGCGCGCAGUUGCCAAGGCGACUGGUGCGCGCGCGUGUCGCAGGUCACGAAUCGAGGUUAUGGGCUGCAGACGCACUCCGGAUUUUCUAGGGUUUUGGGCCUUUGCUGGUUGAUCGCCGCCCCGAAUGAGGCUUUUGACCACUCAGAAUGGACUUCUCAGUGCUCGGUCAUUACGACCCCGGCGUCGAGGCCACCGCCGCCGCAGAACAAGAUCUCCUCUGGGAGGAAUCCCAUUACGAUUUAUCCGGUGAGGGUUUCGUCCCAGUGGCGGAGCAGUUUGGGGAAGAGUUUGCUGGAGCAGAGUUUCACGAGACGAGAACGUUACUUGCCGAUGGAGGUGACCGUUUUGGUGUGUCCACAGCCACAUUCGAUACGAUCGAAGAGCUCAUGUGGAUGGGCAACCAAGGGGGUCACGUGACUUCUUAUUAUGGCUCUGGCCUACAAAAGUACACAUCUUUCCAAGUCCAUGCAACGCAACAAGUUCGACACAUUCAUCCUGUGGAUGAGGGGAUCUUGGUACUCACUCAGAGUAUGUUACGAUGCCAGUUGCGGCGAGGCAUACCAAUAUUUUCCCAUACGUCGACAAACAUGAUGGACAUGCAAUGCAUGUUGCAAAUCGCGCCGACCAGGUUACUCAUGGCUGGCCAUCAGGAGAAAUUGAUCGACUUUAACUUAACUAGAGGCAAAGAGACUGGAACUGUUCAUGUAGGUGAACACGGUUGUGCAAUAUUGAGGCAACACAGCAGGCUGGUAUGUGCAGGCAAUCCUGCAGGACGUAUCGACCUCAGAGACCCGAAUACUCUAUCGGUGGAGCAUACUCUGGACACCCAUAGUGGUUCCCUCAGUGAUUUUGAUGUCCAAGGGAAUUACCUGGUGACUUGUGGCUUCAGCAACAGUCGCCAGGGGCUUUCGGUCGAUCGAUUUCUGAUGGUCUACGACUUGAGGCAGAUGAGAGCCUUGAGUCCGGUCACGACGAUGGUUUACCCACUUCUGCUCAAGUUCCUACCGAGCUACUCGAGUCGCCUUGCAGUCGUAUCUCCGUUUGGCCAAAUGCAACUGCUCGAUACAAUUUACGCCAACGUCCAACCGACCAUGACGUGUUUAUAUCAGGUCGCUACCGGAGGUGCCUUGGUGCUUUCCUUUGACGUUUCCCCCACGUCUCAAUGUCUCUGCUUCGGAGACUCGGCAGGGACCAUACAUCUGAUGUCUACGAACACAUCGGAGCCACAGUUUAACACCUUCUCCAGACCCACGGAAUUUGCCGAUCCCGUUGAAACGCUCCAACCCAUCCCGUUCGACGACGAUUCGACGCCCUUUAGUACGAUACCUAUGAUUUAUACAGGACACGCUCUAUUAAGCGACUGGCCGGAGGAAUACAUGAAGAAGGUGUACAGGAAGACGCCGCCGAUCGACCCGGAAAUCCUGCGCACAAUGAAGAUGCAAGGAACAAUCGGAUACGCACCGAACCCCCAGGCCUUUCGACGUAACCAAAUCCCUUACAAUACGGAAAAACGACGGGGGGUUGUGACCAAACUCUUCGCCACGGAGCCACGAUCAAAGUCAGAGGAUGCUACCUUCGUCGCCAUUCCUAAGCGUUACCGUAAGAUCGAGGCUAAGUACUCCAGGCUUGGUUACGAUGAGUUCGACUUUGACCAGUACAAUCGUACCAGCUUUUGCGGACUCGAGGCUACGCUUCCCAACAGCUAUUGCAACGCCAUGUUGCAGCUACUCUACUACUGCGAGCCCAUCAGAAUAGCGCUGCUGUCGCAUUCGUGCCAGAGGGAGUUUUGCCUUUCCUGCGAGCUGGGCUUCCUCUUCCACAUGCUGGACACUUCCCGAGGUUGGCCUUGCCAAGCUGCCAACUUUUUGCGAGCCUUCCGGACAGUUCCCGAAGCUUCGGCUCUGGGCCUCAUCCUCAGCGACCUCCACCCUGAAGCCAAACGGAAAACCAGCCUGGCUAGAUUGAUACAGAGUUGGAACAGGUUCAUCCUACAUCAGAUGCACUAUGAGAUCCUGGAAACCCGGAAGCGGCUGCAAGAGGAAGCGGAAGCGAUGCGCCUGAAGACUGGACCGAAGUACCCGCCGUUCGUCUACAACGAGGAGGACUUCCCCAGCAUCCUGCAGGACCUCGGCUCCAGAUACAAGACCAACGAGGACGACCGGAAGAAGCGCCGGAAGCAAGAGGGGGAUGACAGUAAAAAACCGGAGGAGAACGAAGUCCGGGACGAGGAAACCGAGAUCAGUCGACUAUUUGGCUCUGAGCAGAUCCAUAUUCAUCGGUGCUUAAAGUGCGGCCAGGAAGCCUCCAAGAGGUCCAUCAUGCUGCUGUGUAACUUGUCCUAUCCGGAGAUGAUGAGCGCAUCCGACGAGGUCCCUUUUACGACGGUCCUCGCCAGGAGUCUAAGCCCGGAAAAGAUAACGCCAGCUUGGUGCGACGCUUGCCAAAAGUUUGCGCCUACUCUUCAGUCCCGGAAACUGACCAAACUGCCGCUGAUAUUGGCGCUGAACUGUGGACUAGACUCUAAAGAGGACAAGUCCUUCUGGCAGCGCCAGAUGGACAUCGUGGUGCAAAAGGUCCUGGGAGUGAAGGACUUCAGCCCAGCCUCCAGUCCUGUACCGGUGACCAUAAAGCCUUGCCGAUACGGCACAAAUUGCACGCGUGCUGGUUGUCGGUUUAGACACGCCGGUAGGGAAUCUGAUACGACGGCUGCGUCUUCGCCUGGGACACCGCCAACGAGUACUAGCGGCCCGGUCCCGACUCCUCCGAGCCACCUUUAUUACUCGCAUUCCUGGAUCCCGCAUAAUAUUCGAGUGACCCUGGACGAGAACGGGGAAUUGGCCAUCGAAAGACUGGAGAAACCUGCGCAGCCUACGGAAAAAUUGGUCGUUGAGAAUGGCCAGGGAGAUAACAUCAUAAAGACCAGCGACGAGCAAGAAGAAAGUGCUCGUGAGAAGCUUGCCAAUGAGGGGGAUGGUGGUGGUUCCGAUGGUACCGAGGCCGAUGACAGUGCCCAGGGCAACCUGGAAAGGAAAGCCGUGGACAUUCAGUAUACUUUGACGGCGGUUAUUUGCUACGUCGAUGAUAAGACCAGCGACGACCGGAAAAACGUCGUCGCGCUGAUACGUGUCGGGCCUAACUAUCACGAGAGACUCUCCGGUAGUGCCGUCUCCCAGUGGUACAUCUUUAACGACUUCAGCAUAUCCGCAGUGACGCCUCAAGAAGCUGUGUGGUUUAAUCUCGACUGGAAAGUACCUUGCGUCCUGCAUUAUACUGCAACCCCAGCACCGGAAUCGGCCCAGUUUGUCAGUCCUUUGACUUAUGACGUGUUUGGGGAAGACAAAUGCGUCGCACGAAGCGGCGGUACCAGGGGUAUCACUUUUACGCCCUUGACUUCUGACGAAAUGCCGAAAAGCGGAGAACUAGUGGGAAUCGACGCAGAAUUUGUAACGCUCAAUCAAGAGGAGGCUGAACUUCGCAGUGAUGGGAAAAUGUCCACCAUCAAACCUAGUCAUAUGUCUGUGGCGAGAAUCACUUGUAUUCGCGGGCAAGGUCCGCUUGAGGGAACUCCGUUCAUAGACGACUACAUAAGCACUCAGGAACAAGUGGUGGAUUACUUGACGAAAUUCAGCGGGAUUCAGCCAGGCGACCUGGACGCCAACUUCAGUAGCAAACACCUCACCACUCUGAAGUCUACGUACCAGAAGCUGCGAUUUCUGGUGGACAAUGGCAUAAUAUUCGUUGGCCAUGGUCUGAAGAAUGACUUUAGAGUCAUCAACCUAGUGGUGCCAGCGGAGCAGAUCGUGGACACGGUAUUGCUCUUCCAUUUACCCCAUCAUCGGAUGGUGUCCUUGCGAUUCUUGACCUGGCACUUCUUGGGAAAGAAGAUACAGUCAGAGACCCACGACUCCGCGGAAGAUGCCAGAGCUGCUUUGGCGCUCUACCAUAAGUACAAAGAGCUAGAGAGCUCCGGGAGGCUGACGGAGGUCCUGAAGGAACUCUACAGCGCCGGCACCAAACUGCAGUGGAAGGUGCCGGAUAGCUGAUAUAUGGACAAAUCGUCCGGCGAGGAACCUAAAGGCAUCGGUCCUUGUGACCAAGAUCUAGAUUUCACGGGCUUGUGAUGUGAUAUCACGGAAGGUCUUGGAGCGACUGAAGCGAACUCGCCCUUCCUCGCCUGGACAUCCUGAACGAGAAGUGCCUAUCAGAAGGUGAUCGACGUCUAUCUAUGUUGAGCACUCAUUGACCCUUCGGUAGGCAUGAUCGAGACGCCCGUCUCUCUCGUCCAGGGUCGAAAAUGAUCUCACAACGAGAUACUCAAGAAACCUGUGGGUCCUUCACUGAACUCUGUGAGGGAUGGUCCACCGAUCGGACGACGCCUUCCCGGUCUGGGAGCAAAGGCUGAGAUUUUUAUUAUUUAACACGGUUUACGGGUACGGUAACUCUCAAUAGUCAUUUAUAUUUCGGUAUUGGCUCUCUAUUGCACCGACAAGUGCAUCCAUUUACUCAGUUGAAUUGAAGUUACGCGGUACGUGCGUAAGUCGGUCGCGAUAUCGGUCGUCCAAUCGUUGAUACGAUUUACAGGAUUGGGCGGUGGGAAUCCUCGUCCGUAGUUUUAAUAUUUUCCUCUUUCUUUCCUUUUCUUUUCUUUUCGUAUAUCAUUUUAACGGCGACUCGCGGCGUAAUCUACACAUCACUGUCCCUUACAUCUCUGUACAUAGAACCCGAGGAAGGCAACGUUUCGUCGGAGGGUUGCAUUUCGAUGCCGCCCCUGUUACUCAAGCUUACCGAGUGUAUAUUUAUUUUUGACCAGUCCGUUUCCGUGCACUGUAACAUACGAUGUGCUGUUUUGUUCCACCGUGCACGGGCUUGUGUUAAAUGUACAUAUGCGAGGGUACUCGAAGGGGUUAACGGACGACAACUGGAACGAGAUGCCUCUUCAAGCUCGAGACCGCUCCAGGGCCGCGUUACCCGUUCAAGUAUCGCUUUUUUUCUUUUUUUAAUAUUUAUCCGCCACGUCGAGUCCCCUGCAUUCCCACGGGGCCCUCGAAAUGUAAUCUUAACGACACGACGAUAGGUAUAUUUUACUAAACGCGCGCUCAUUGUAAUUUAUUUUUCUACGUGCUUUGCGAAAGAGACGAUGCUCCGGAUUGUUAUGUCCCGAGGCUAACGGGGACUGACGCGAUGUGUAUAUUUUUCGAUACUUCGACGAGACUUUACCGAUGAUUUUCUCAAUUAUCAUUGUAUACGGCGAACGGGCGAUACCGAUCGACUAUUAAAGGUCUCGGUCGAGGGCCACCGAUUCGUCGUUGUGCUUUUUCAAUAAACGAUUCCACCGAGGACCGAGACAUCACGUAUCGAGUU